GCCGGUCCAUCCAACCCUGAGUCAUCCCCGGCAGGUUUCAGUCCUGAGGGGCAGCAGUUGGGAUCAUCGAAGGGCCUCCUGCGUGCCCAAAGCCCGGCGGCGCUGGCGGGGAGGGCGAGGACACCCCGCGGAGGAGGUUCCCCUCUCCCUCCCUCCCUCCCCUCUCCCCUCCCUGCAUUUCGGGGGCUGUUUUUUGAACCUUUCCGAGGUUCCCCUCUCCCUCCCUGCAUUUCAGGGGCUGUUUUUUGAACCUUUCCGAGGUUCCCCUCUCCCUCCCCCUCUCCCUCUCUCCCUCCCCGCAUUUCAGGGGCUGUUUUUUUUUAACCUUUUCCUGCCCCCCUCCCUCUCUCAGGUGACCGCGCUGCCGCUGCUGCCCCCUCCCCGUGUGUGCUAUUUCUGCCCGGAUUAAACCACGUCCCGCCGGAAUCUCCCCUGGGCAGACCUUUAUUAAAAGGACAAGCUGUUCGGGGAGCCGCUAAUAAAGCCGUGAAAGCUUUUACAAAC